CAAAGCAUCACUUGAGUUUGAUCCCACAAUUAGGAUUUUCAUAUUUCUCCUUUUUUAAUGAACGAAGUAAAACGCUCCUGGAAACUAAACUAGUUAACAUGCCUCAUUAUUAUUUACUCUGAAGUUUCCUACGCACUAUUUAGAUUGGGGUCAGAAGAAUAUUCUCUGAACUUGUGUUCCAAAGCAUCCUUGAUUUUGGACUUCACAAAAAAACAACCCAGCCCAAUUCAAAAUAUUGGAUUUAAUAAUAGCGGAAAUGUGGGCGAUGGAUGCAUAGUGUCCUUGCAAAUGGAAGCCUCACUGGGCUCCACUGACACAACCGGAUUCAGUACGAAAAUUCUUUCCACCGAAGACUGCAGAAAAGCAGAGUCCAUCGGAAAGCCUUUACCAACAGACAAUGAGGACUUUGGGAAUCAAGGCAGCUUGAGAAGCUACGUCCUCCUGCCAAGUCAAUCACAU
rnacentral:lncRNA from 1 species